CGUGUACGUACAAGCAGUGGGAGCACCCUUUGGGUGUGACUGCGUACCUUUUGUAUAAUGGGUCAGCGACUUAUAUUCUGUAGCAAGGUUAACCGAAUAGGGGAGCCGGAGGGAAACCGAGUCUUAACCGGGCGUUAAGUUGCAGGGUAUAGACCCGAAACCCGGUGAUCUAGCCAUGGGCAGGUUGAAGGUUGGGUAACACUAACUGGAGGACCGAACCGACUAAUGUUGAAAAAUUAGCGGAUGACCUGUGGCUGGGGGUGAAAGGCCAAUCAAACCGGGAGAUAGCUGGUUCUCCCCGAAAGCUAUUUAGGUAGCGCCUCGUGAAUUCAUCUCCGGGGGUAGAGCACUGUUUCGGCUAGGGGGCCAUCCCGGCUUACCAACCCGAUGCAAACUGCGAAUACCGGAGAAUGUUAUCACGGGAGACACACGGCGGGUGCUAACGUCCGUCGUGAAGAGGGAAACAACCCAGACCGCCAGCUAAGGUCCCAAAGUCAUGGUUAAGUGGGAAACGAUGUGGGAAGGCCCAGACAGCCAGGAUGUUGGCUUAGAAGCAGCCAUCAUUUAAAGAAAGCGUAAUAGCUCACUGGUCGAGUCGGCCUGCGCGGAAGAUGUAACGGGGCUAAACCAUGCACCGAAGCUGCGGCAGCGACACUGUGUGUUGUUGGGUAGGGGAGCGUUCUGUAAGCCUGUGAAGGUGUGUCGUGAGGCAUGCUGGAGGUAUCAGAAGUGCGAAUGCUGACAUAAGUAACGAUAAAGCGGGUGAAAAGCCCGCUCGCCGGAAGACCAAGGGUUCCUGUCCAACGUUAAUCGGGGCAGGGUGAGUCGACCCCUAAGGC
rnacentral:rRNA from 1 species